rnacentral:tRNA from 1 species
GUGUAUGAGCUAGUACAUAUUAAUGGCUAUUACCUCAGCUUUCCAAGCUGAUGAUGCGGGUUCGAUUCACGUUGUACACUCCA